rnacentral:lncRNA from 12 species
ACCAGGAGCCACCUGGGGGGUCACAGGGGGCACUAGGAGCCCCCCAGGGGUCACAGGGGGCACCAGGAACCUCCCAGGGGUCACAGAGGUCACCAGGAACCCCCCUGGGGGGUCACAGGGGGCACCAGGAGCCCCCCCAGGGGUCACUCAGGGGUCACGGGGCCACCCUGGUGUCCCCAGACCCACCACAGGGACCCCUCCUCGUGGGGAAUGGGGGGUCAAGGGGCACCCCCAAUGUCCCCAGGUGUGUCCCCCAAUGUCCCCAGGUGUGUCCCCAAAUGUCCCCAGGUGUGUCCCCAGACGUGUCCUGGGUGUGUCCCAGGUGUCCCCAGGCGCCCCCUGUGUCUCACGUGUGUCCCAGGUGUGUUCCCAGUUGAUCCCCAUGUCCCCAGGUGCCCCAGCCGUGUCUCAGCUGUGUCUCAGGUGUGUCCCAGGUGUGUCCCCAGGUGUAUCCCCAGGUGUCCCCCACGUCCUCAGCUGUGUCUCAGGUGAGUCCCAGGUGUGUCCCCCGUGUCUCCAGGUGUGUCCCCAGGUGUCCCCCAUGUCUCAGCCCUGUCCCCAGGUGUCCCCUAUGUCCCCAGCUGUGUCUCAGGUGUGUCUCAGGUGUGUCCCAGGUGUGUCCCGAGGUGUCCCCCAUGUCCCCAGCUGUGUCCCCAGGUGUCCCCCAUGUCCCAGCUGUGCCUCAGGUGUGUCUCAGGUGUGUCUCAGGUGUAUCCCCCGUGUCUCCAGGUGUAUCCCCAGGUGUCCCCCAUGUCCCAGCUGUGUCUCAGGUGUGUCCCAGCCGUCCCCCCAGGUGCGCUCAGGUGUGCCCAGGUGCGCCCAGGUGUGCCCAGGUGCGCCCAGGUGUGUCCCAGCCGUUCCCCCAGGUGCGCCCAGGUGUGUCCCAGCCGUUCCCCCAGGUGCGCCCAGGUGUGCCCAGGUGUGCCCAGGUGCCCCCAGGUGCGCCCAGGCGCGCCGUACCUGCGCCACGCGGAUGAUGUCGGGGAUGUGCAGGUAGGCCUGCACGGGGGGCAGCCCCCGCCCCACCAGGUACGCCUCGUCCGCCUUCUGCCGGUGCAUCUGGCCCGUGUCCUGCUCCGAGUACACGGCCACCGUGCGGAUCCCCAGCUCCGUGCAGGCGCGGAACACGCGGAUGGCGAUCUCACCUGCGGCACCGCGGGGACACCGCGGGGACACGGACAUGGGGACAGGGACAUGGGGACACCGCGGGGACAGGGACAGGGACAUGGGGACACGGACAUGGGACAGGGACAUGGGGAUACAGGGACAGUCUGGGGACACCCUGGGGACAGGGACACAGGGGCACCCUGGGGACAUGUGGACAUGGGGACAUUCUAGAGACAUGGGGACAUGCUGAGAACAUGGGACAGGGACAUGGGGACACCCUGGGGACACCCUGGGGACACUCUGGGGACACCCUGGGGACACCCUGGGGACACCAUGGGGACACUCUGGGGACACUCUGGGGACACUUUGGGGACACUUUGGGGACACUCUGGGGACACUUUGGGGGCACCGCCUUGGGCAGUCUGACCUGAGGCCACACGAGGUCGGGGUCACCUCAGGGGACACGGGGGGGCCCCCCCCCCCCCCCCCCCCCCCCCC